UUUCCGGCAAUUUAAGCAAUUAGGAAGGAAAGCGGAAACGGGAUUAACUAAUGCGUUCGAUUCUUAUUGUAUAACCAUUACUUUUGUGCGAAAGUGCUCCAGCCGCCGAAAGAAUCUCACGUGCAAGCUUUCUUACGGGAUUUGUCGAUGGGAUAAAGUUAAACGGUUCUACGGUCAAUGAGUUUGAACUUUCUUGGUUUUACCAGGAUAAUUAUUUGGUUCUUCUAUUAGCAGUACCAUUACAGAUGAGGCACAAAAUUGACCUGGCAUCUUACGGGACUCUGUGUCUCAUGUUCUGAAAUACCGAUCGAUCAAAACAAAUUGCGAGGGUGCUAACCGUCUGUGGCUAAAGCAUUGACAAAGAACAGAAUAUACGUGACAUCACUGACGAAGUCUCCGUGCAGAUGAGCGGCAUUUUACCGCGCAAUCCCUUUGCGAUCUGUUAUAUCUGCCAUUGUUGUUCUUAAUAGGAAAACGAAGAAAGACAUAUGAUAGCAACGAUAUCGAGCGGACAAGAGUGAUUUGCGGCAGAUCGCCGCAGCGAAAGCGGGUUGGAAGAACAAGAAAAUGCGUAUAACAACGACUGGUGUCAGUGUGUAUAUUUGAUUCAAUAAGAAUAGAAAAGGUCUCUGCACAGUGUUCUUUUUCGAUUCCCAUAUUGCACCCACUUACACGGUCACACUCGUACCCUCUACCAUUUUUGUGUUACAUGCGUCACUAUCAAUUCAAUAUAGUAUAGUGAUUUGAAUUAAAGGUAAAGUUUUCUAUGAAAUUACAAAUAGAAUACGAAUCAGGAUAUGGUGUAAUUGUAAACGAAGUACGGAAUUUUACACUUCUACAUACUUCUACCUAAAAAACUCGCAACACAAUUUAUGGAUAACUCAAAUAGAUAAGUUGCGCAUAAACGAAAAGAGCAAAAGAAUCAUCGACAACUUGCUUGUGUGGAUAAAGGUAUCGAUCAAGUACUUCAAUCUUCAUAAAUAUACUAAAACUAAGGCUUAAAACUAACGAAACAAAUUAAAAGUAAGAUUUGAAAGUAAGACUUAAGACCAAGGUUAAAAUUUAUACUUAAAACAAAAAGUAAGUCCCCCGUUGCCUCACGCCGUCCAACAAUCAGGCUUAAGAUUAACGUAAUUUAGAUCUUAGAAUUAAAACCUAUUUAAAUGUAAAACUAAACUAAAAAUAGAUAUCAGAUAGAUAUCAAUCUAGUGUACAUUAGGACGUGGCCAUACUGGCAGCUUUUCAUAUCAAAGACUUUAACUUAGAACGAAAUUUAAGAAAUUAAACUAUAUAAUACAGGUACCUCAGGAUGUCCCUGCAAUAUCUCACGGUGUUCUACAACUGGUGCUAAUAAUUUAUUAACGAAUAUCUAUUGUAUGAUAAAUUAAAGCUAUGACGCACGCAUUGCACGUUGUACGCUUUUAAGCUGAGAGUCAAAACUAAUACUUAAACUUAAAACUUAAAAGGACGCAUACAUUACGCAACAUCUAUCUCCCACGCUACGUUAUAAAAGCAUUGUACAAUAAUUCGCUGACAGCAUUCGAUAUCACAAGAGACCUCCAAGUUUCAACGGGGAAUUCCAGGAUUGACCAUCACACGAUUCUUGUCUUGCCAUUCGAAACUUACACGAUCCACUGUCGAAGCUUCCGACUGAUGAUAUUACGGUAGAUUAGUCAAGGAUCGAGGUAAUAUAAAGAAGAGCAAACAUUAAAAAUUUUCAGGUAUUUAUUAAAUAUGGCAAAAUUUUGAUUUUGCCUUCGUGUACACAUAGAAGUAUGACACACUCCAACUAAACAAGUGAAACUUCCGAUGGGAGGAACCACCAAAUAGGAUUACGAAGCACUAGUCCUCGACUGAACAAGUGGGGUUCACUCCCGGUGGGAUGAACUACUGAACAGGAUUACGAAGGACAUCAAAUUACUGGUCUUAACCCUGUCCGAGUACCGAAGCACCAAUCGGGUAGGAUCCUCAAUUGGACUCUGUAAGCACCAUGGUCGUGAUGAGAACUCCCGCGACUCGAUGCAAACCGCGAAUAGUCAUUGAACAGUCAUCUAGAUAAGGGGGCCCUUGGAGCGAUUUAUGAAUACAAGAGGUUGUCAAGUGCAUGCUGAUUCGUGCGUAUCUGAAAUACGCACGAGCGAGUACGCCACGUAAUAAUUCAAAGGAAUUGAGCGAUUGCGAACCCAUAAAUCGCAAAAUCGACUUAUGUGAUAAAUGCAUGAGGCAAGACAGAAAAGAUUUUUGUUUUGUUCCAAAUUAAAUAAGCGUACCAUUGUACGGAAUGGACUCACGAUGAACUUAACACAUGUAUCUAUCUUAUGAUUAACUAAAGCUGAAACACACGCAUCCUGUGAUGUUCCCAAGAUAUCGCACGAUUUCCCAUGGCGUCUCCGAGAGGUAUGUCAGUCCAGUCUAGAUUAUCAAAGGAUUUCGUAAAUAAUUUUGGAUGAUCUAGACCGGACUGUAUUAAAAUAGUUCUUAUCUUAAUAUCGUUUUCAAAUAGUAAUAUAUUCCUAAUAUUAAAAUUAAUAUUAUAUUAGUUCUCUAAUAUUUAUAAUAAUAUUUCGACGUACUAAUGUUUGGAAGUACAAUAUCAAUUAUUAUUAAUUUAAGCACUUGUUGUUUUAUUUAAUUAAAGUGGAACAUUAUACCUGCUAUACUUAAAUGCAGUGAUGUUACGAAAGAAAAAAAUGAUGGUUUGAAUUCGUUUAUUUUUCGUAGUAAUUAAAAUAGAAAUAAAAAAAUUGAUAUAAUGUUCGUGUUAUUAAUAAUAUCGAAAAUAUAAUUAUAAUAACUACGUAUGUAAGCAGAAUGUUAAAAAAUUGAGUCAAUUCGAUGAUUUGGAAUUUUGUAAGCACUUAUUAAUAUAAAUGCUUACAAAUAAUAAUAGAAUAGAAUAAGUUAAUAGAAUAAUUUCUAUCAACUUCAUUUAGUUACAACGUGCUUAUUUAAACAUUACUAUAUAUUUCAUUUAAUAUUAGUAUAAAAUUGAAAAUAAGUAAAAUUACAUAGUUUUCUCGAAGUCAAUUUGCUUCUUUCCUAUUGGUCGUAUCAAAUUGAAUUUGUGUGCACAUAUAUAUAGAAAAAUACAUAUGCGCGUAUUUCGUACAAGCUCGUACCACUUCCCCAACAAUUCCCGCGCGUACGUUUGGCGCGCAGUAUUAGUGCGUCGUUGUAAACAGUAGUUAAGAUGUUUAAUCUCAUCUAGCAUGCGUCGUUAACCGCUUUAGACUGUUUGUGAUCGUGCGCGUUGCAGUCAGUGGAGUCAGUGUCUACACAUUAGCUCUAAUUAAUUGUAUCGUAAAUACAAUUAGGGUCACAGUUAAUUGUAUCUGCAAUAUAUUGUAUGAAAAACACAAUUCAUUCGCGAAAUUACAGUCAGUGUUUGUUCGUCGAUUAUAAUUCAAAUGGUCGCGUUAGUAGUAGUCUUUUAUUUUUGUUUUUAAAUAAUUCAUAAUAUAUAGCUUUUUAAGUAUUCGUUCUCUCAGAAACUCAAAACCUUUCUCAAAAGGAUCUAUCCCCUGCAUAACUUAGAAAUGACUUUUCACAACCUCCACAUCUACGAUAAAGUUCGAUGCUUUGAUGACGGUUUCUUCUGGGCCACAGCAACAUUGAUAACAACGUUCCCCGCAUCUAAUCCGAUGCAAGAUAGUAACUGUAGAAAAUGGAAAAUGAGGAUAGAGUGGCAACUAAACAGCAAUACGCGGCAAGAAGAAUCGUUCCCAAAAAGGCGGGUGACCGUUAAGGUCCGCGACCUCUGGAAUGAACCUUCGACUGGAAUCAUGGAUAUUCGUACGGAGCUUUUGUGACAGUACCGCCGCGAGUAUUCGUGACUGUUUUAACGACACCUUAACCAGAGGACAAAAAGUUGUCCAACAAGCGUACAACGAAUCGCAUUCAACACCAUCCACACGCCACACGCAAAGUUCAAAGAAACUCGCAACAUCAUGUACCACUUCAAAGUAAUGUGUUAAAAGCGGCAAAAAGCGUGAUCGCUCGAACCGUUAAGCGAAAAAUGGUACAGCACGAGUUCUACGUUUUAUAAAUGACAUAGUUCUAUUUUUUUAUUAUCAUAUUCCUCGUAUAGACGAUCAUAUAUAAGUAUUUAGGCACUUGCAAAUUAAUAUCUAGCAAAAAAAUAUAGUAACUGUAUUAUAUAGCAAUUAAGUUAGAAAAAUAUAUAGAAUGUAUAGUAAUAAGCAAAUGUACAUAAAAUGUCCGAACUAGAGUAGUCUCUAUAAUAUCGAAUAAAAAAAAUCAUUUUUUCUCUAGGAUA